AUGGGCAAGCCAAAGCAGGAUAAGAAGUUGAGGAAAGAUUUUUCUAAGGAGGUAUGCAAGAUCAUGAAGAAGCAAGAGAAGGAAGAGAAUGUCAUAUCUAUUGAAGCUGCAAAAGCUCAUAAAGCCAUAGAAGGUGAAGGUUCAAGCAUAUCUAUUGCGGCCUCCAAGAUAGAGUCUACUAUUCAUCAGAAGCUAGUUUAG